GUCCACGCCCUAAACGAUGUCAACUAGGUGUUGGGGAGGAGACUUCCUUAGUACCGCAGCUAACGACGUGAAGUUGACCGCCUGGGGAGGUACGGCCGCAAGGUUGAAACUACAAAGGAAUUGACGGGGACCCGGCACAAGCGGUGGAUUAUGUGGAUUAAUUCGAUGCAACGCGAAAAACCUUAACCUACCCUUGACAUGUCAGGAAGAUUUCAGAGAUGAGAUUGUGCCCGAAAGGGAACCUGAACACAGGUGCUGCAUGGCUGUCGU
rnacentral:rRNA from 1 species